rnacentral:lncRNA from 1 species
UAGAUUCUCAGGCCACAUCCAGAAAUUUCCUUGGCAAUUCUGAAUAAAUAUCACCAAGCAUUUUGGUAUUUUUAAGUUACAUCCUCCGUGGCUCUGAUAUAGAAGAAGUUAUAAACACCGUAGUUUGAAAAACAAAGUUCUGCAAUAUUUAAAGACAGCAUCAAAUUUAGAUCCUGGAUCACCCUGCUGCCCGAAUUCAAUGCCAUCUGAAUAGAAAACUUAC